rnacentral:rRNA from 1 species
UACGUAGGGCGCGAGCGUUGUCCGGAAUUAUUGGGCGUAAAGAGCUCGUAGGCGGCCUGUCGCGUCAAUUGUGAAAGCCCGGGGCUUAACCCCGGGUCUGCAGUCGAUACGGGCAGGCUAGAGUGUGGUAGGGGAGAUCGGAAUUCCUGGUGUAGCGGUGAAAUGCGCAGAUAUCGGGAAGAACACCCGUGGCGAAGGCGGUUCUCUGGGACGGUACUGACGCUGAGACGCGAAAGCGUGGGGAGCGAACAGG